GACGAACGCUGGCGGCGUGCUUAACACAUGCAAGUCGAACGGAAAGGCCCCCUUGUGGGGUACUCGAGUGGCGAACGGGUGAGUAACACGUGAGUAACCUACCCUUGACUUUGGGAUAACUUCAGGAAACUGGGGCUAAUACCGGAUAGGAGCUCCUGCUGCAUGGUGGGGGUUGGAAAGUUUCGGCGGUUGGGGAUGGACUCGCGGCUUAUCAGCUUGUUGGUGGGGUAGUGGCCCACCAAGGCUUUGACGGGUAGCCGGCCUGAGAGGGUGACCGGCCACAUUGGGACUGAGAUACGGCCCAGACUCCUACGGGAGGCAGCAGUGGGGAAUAUUGCACAAUGGGCGGAAGCCUGAUGCAGCAACGCCGCGUGCGGGAUGACGGCCUUCGGGUUGUAAACCGCUUUCGCCUGUGACGAAGCGUGAGUGACGGUAAUGGGUAAAGAAGCACCGGCUAACUACGUG
rnacentral:rRNA from 1 species